rnacentral:snRNA from 1 species
AGAGCGAGGCUCAGCUAUUGCACUCCGGCUGUGCUGAUCCCUGCGAAUUCCCCAAACAUGGGAAUCUCG